rnacentral:lncRNA from 1 species
UCAAAUUUUAUGCACAUAGAAAUUACUGAUUCUCAGUUCGCGAAGAGUCUUAUCCUCUUGCAAUGCCAAUCUUGAACUGGGGAUCCUCGGUGGUGGAGGCAACCAAUCCUCAUCUUUUCUCUCCUUUCCACCCUUCUCAUCAUUAUCAUCAUCAUCUAAAACAACAACAUCCUUUCGGUUUGGUUCACCUUCCCAUCCUAAAAAUUCAAAAAAAUCAAAAAAAGAAGAAUCUAACGGACCCAAAACUUCCACAAAACGACAAAAAACCCUAAUCUGAACAAGAUGCAACUCAGUGUACGAUCGGCGGUCUUCUUCCUCUUCAUCCCAGGAAAAAUUGGAACCGAAUCCAGAUCGUCAUCAUCGAAGGAGGGGAAAUCCGUGGGCUGGACACGGCUGUAAUCGAAGAGAGGCUCGAGCUCUUUUCCAGGCUCAUCCUGCCGAACGAAUCAAAGGAGAAAGAGAUGGAAAACUGAGGGAGGGGAAAAAACCUAGAAAAUUUAGCCACAAGGGAAGCAGAGAGCACAGUAAUUCGCAAACCACUGGCGACGAAUUGAUAGCGUUCCAAGGGGGAGACGGCUAUUUGGCGUCGAAACGUUCGCUGAACCGAAGCGGUGGUGGCGGCGGGAGGUGGCUGCGCGCUCGCGGCCGACGAUUUGGGGGGAAGAAACAAGGAAUGUUUUCCUAAUUUCAUAUCGAACGUGAGGGAAGUGCAAUGCACUUGCGAUGAUGCAACGAUGCAAGUGACGGAGCAUGAAUCUCAUAAAGAUUCUUCUUUGACCAGGGAGGGACAUGGAUUUACAUUGUGACAUUAAUUUUAGGACCGCCAACCAAGAAGGAAGUCCUGCAUGGUCGUAAGUCAUUGGUUUACAAUUGUUUCUAUACCCUGCAUCUAAUUUUGUAGCCAAUGCUAGAAAUAAUAAUGAUACAUAGAAUGGUUUAAUGUCCUAAUUGUGCAGCAUCACCAGGUCAUAAUUCAUGAUAUUGAGUGUUAAAACAUAUACAGAUGUAACCCAGAUGAAUCAGAGGGGAAACAAGGUAUAGAAUGAGGACAAAACAUAAAUAGUCCGCAUAUGGAACUGACAGUGACAACACAUUGUAGUUUGAUCAAACAAAACAAAGAAGUGGAGAAGUUGAGCUAUUCACUCUUCUCCCUAGUAACUCUUUUCCUUCUUCCUUCUCUGUUUUCUUUUCACUUCAUCACUAUUGCCUAAUGCUUUUCUCAUUCAGUAUAUGUAGAGUCUGACUGAAUUUUCGACCCAACUCUUUUACUUCUGAUUCUAUAAGAAUUCUACAUAUCCUUUUUCUGUAGUGUUGAACCCUCAUUACACAUUAAAUAUAUUAAAGUACCACUCUAAUAUAAGGUUUGCAGAAACUUUCACUGUUACUCAAAAUUCUCACUGGAUCGACCUCAAGGAACCUUCUAAAAGCCCUAAAGCUUCUAGAGUAAUCUACCAAAUCCCAUUUUCUAAACCAUAGGGCAAACCAAGAAAGCUUCCCUAAUCUUUAAUCCACAAAAUCACUCAUGACUUCUGACAUUGAACACCAUAGUUAAAUUCAAUCAAAAUCUACAAAUAGUGGCACUCAAGGUCCAUUAUCAUAGACAAGCACACCCUCCUAUCGGUCCAACGUCUUUACUCUGGCAGUUAAUUAUGACAUUAAAGCACAAAUGGAGAUGGGGAAAAAAGUUCUGUUGUAGCUGCCCAAGGAGUACAGAACAUUUAUAUACUAGUAUUCGACAAUCUGAGUUCAAUGAGACUACAAACAUGAUGAGCCAUUAGAUAUUAUUCUAAUAGCAUGAGCCCCUUUCUUUCCUCAAGAAACUGUAAACAAAUCCAAUGCAUAUGUGCUAAAAUUUUGGCUCCUGUAUUAACAAUUCAACAUAGCUCAAUAAUAUAAAAUGUGCCCUUAAAACAUACAAACACUAGAUAGAAAUGUAGAACUAAAAUUAACAUAGAACCAUGUUGAAAGUAGUACCGAAUAAACACAGAACUGCUUUUGUCCAUCAUUUCCCUGAAUAGAUAUAACAAUUUUCUUUCUUUCAACUUGUGGUUUGAUGACUGAUUCCCUUUGGCUUCUGCAUCAUUCCCAGAACUACUAAGUUCACUUCUGGCAGACUCCACUACUGCUCUCAACACAUCCCGAGCCGAUUGAGCUAACGAUACCAACUCCUGCUUCUGUAGUCUAAAUAAAUAGGACAUUUUAAUCAGUUAUAACAUUAAGGAUAAUUAAGAAAUACAUAUUGUUGCAUCAAAGUAUAUCUAUUUUCUUUAAACAUAAUGCUGAAAAUUAGAAACAAAUCACAUAAUGAUUAUAAAUAUUUUGACUUAGAUGAUUAUAGAGGAAACUUUAUUUUUUAUAAACCAGGAACCUAAAUCUAUGGACUAGUUAUUGAGUAUUGGAAAAAAAAAAAUUAACAAGAUCCUAACAUCCAUAUUUGGCAGGAUACAUCAGAAUUAAAAAAUGCUUGUAGUAACACGAGCUAUCAAAAGAGUAGAUCUGAAGACUUAAAAAAGCUGAAUGAUGAUCACAUAAACAAAAAUAGAUUACUCUGAAAUUUCUAUACAAGAACACCACAUGAAAGCGGAAAUUUAAGUCUUCAUCCUGUCAGCUUUAUUCAAAAUUGAGCCCAGAGUGUCAUCCACGACGUGACAUAGAGACCAAUUGAUAGUUCCAUAUAUAAAGACUUAAUGUCUACAAAAACAAGGAUGCUGAUCCCUUGAAGUGCAUAUGCAAGGCAUUAAAUGUAAAUCUCAGAUGCCUCAAAGAAGUUUUUCCUCUUUCAGAAUUCCUCUCUAUCAAUUGGAAUACUUAAAACUUCAGGGUCAAGUGAGUUUUGGAGAGAUGCUCAGUUAUGUAGCUAAACAUGAUACAGAUUUUAUAUAUUAAUUAGUAUUGAAGAAUAAUUCCACUAAUAUGUUAAUCAAAUCCUAGUAAUGCUAUAAAAGGUGUUAUUAGUGAUAAUCAAACAUCAAAUUAGAGCUUCCUUACAGAAUCAAUGAAAUAAAGCAGCUCCUCUCUCUCCUUUUUCUCUCUCACAGCAAGGCAGGGAAAAACUGAAAAGCCCACCCAGCUUUCAUUAAGAAAAUGAAGGAGGUACAAGAAUUCUCAGAGAGGAAAAGAAAGAGGAGCGAGAGGAUGUAAAUGGGGAAGGGGGCGAGAAGAGACCCAGGCAAUGGAAUUGGCAAGUUUAUCAGGGGCAUACAAAGUCCAGUCCCAAAAGAGUUCAUUGGUUUUAUUGGAGAAGACCCAGCGGUUUUGUUCAAGCCAUAAGCACCAGGGCUUCCCAACCAUGUAAACAGCAGGACGAUUUUUCUUAGUAGACCAGGAUCCCCCAAAGCAAUGAAGGGCAUGUGUCUAGCCUUUGACUCCAAUCUUGUCCUUCGAUUUUGCACAGGGUUCCAUUACUAUUAAUAGGUGGCUCCGAGAUUUCUUAUGGGCACAGGAAUCUCAAGUAAUUCAGUCAAAUGGAAUGAGGGAAGGAGCAACAGAUCAGCAGGGGGUUCAUGGUUACCUGAGACCACAAGUAAAGUGGGCAGCAAGGUGGUCCACGGUUAUCUGAGAUCUUCAGUAAAGUGGCAGCAAGGGGGAUCUGGGCAGUUAUGUUUGGCUAGAUUCUCCUAGACAAGAAGUUUAUUAUAGUAUCUGUCCGGAAGAAUUGGAUUUUGGUAGGAAUAGGAAUCUUCUUCUCUUAGCCUGAAUAAGCUGAGAAUGUCACUUGGGCUUGUUCAGGUGCACAUAGAGGAUGCAUGCCGUUACUACCUAUAGCAAUACAGAGAUUUACCAAGGAAAUUAUACAAAUGUAUGUAUGGAUGUGGAAAAUGAAGAUUUAAUCUUGUCAUCUUGGUAGUCUACUGGACAUCCUCACUUAUUUAGAUCGGACCCCAGCAUGUAAACUGAAUGGGCAUCAACUGGUUCUGCUUUGAACUGCUGAGAGCACAAUAAGCAUUUUGGCACCAGAAAACACCACGAUCCCCCAUGUAAUCCCUCACCAACACAUACAAACACAAGAAAAAAAGAAAAAAAAUUGCACCCAUUCCACAUGCAUUCUGGAGGUUGUUUAGCAGUGCUCAAAAAUAAAAAGUGGUACUGCCAGGGGUGUCUAUAACACCAGUAUUUCUGACUUACACAUGAUACUUAUGAAAAAAGGGCACUCCAAUGCAUGAGGUUCUCGCCACUGCAGGAUCUGGGGAGGGUCAGAUGUACGCAGCCUUACAUUGCAUGCAGAGAAGCUAUUUCCAUCUUUUAGACUUGUGACUCCCAAGGCUUACCCUCGCAUGACACUUAAGAAAGACAACAAUAUUGUAUAGAACUUCUUACACUUCAAAUUGUAAAACUAUGGCAUCUCUUUGACCCAGGAUAUCAUGGCUCCAAUAGAAACAUAAAUUUUUAGCAACACAUCAUCAAAAAUUUUGUAGUUUUGUAAGAAACCUAACAGUACCCAGGUUAUAAUACGAUAUACUUGCCAGAGUACUGAAUUAAGUUGAAUGAUUCACCAUGUUGGGUUUAUAAAGACAUGUUACUUCAUAGGAUGUUAGUAUGAGCAACAACAUUCAUAAUGUAUUUCAACUAUGAAAUUUCUGUAUACAUAAAAACGGAAAUGAAUUUAAGCCAUCAAUAGGUGAACAAGAUCUUUCUUAUAGGUCUCUUCUUUCUUAUUGUCAUGGUUCCAGUCUAUAAUUUGGUGUAUCAUUCUCCUUCAACCUGAAUUCAGAUCACUGUCACACUGUUUCAAUCAAUCACAAAUGAUUAGGUCACUUUUGUCAAUGCUAUUUCAGAAAGCAGGUUCAUCUAGCUUGAUGUUCACAUGGUCUUCAAAUGGACUAUUUACAUUCUUGUAAAUAUUUGCCAGCUAUAAUGUUUGCAAUUCCCACCACAUCAAUGACCAACUUUGACCAAAUUUGAUUAAAAGGUUUUGAAACACUGUUUAGUUAUUGAAGCCGGAUACUGAUAACAAGAAAAAGAUGAUUCUAGGUGCUCGCAUUUUCCCGAUUCAACAAUCAAAUAUGCCAAUAAUCAAUGUUCAUUGAUUACUUGAAAGCCACUAUUAAUAGCUUGCUGAAGACCAUCUGAUAUUAGAAAUACAAAGCCACUCAUUGAGCUUCCAAAAAAUUUGUGCAAAUUCUUAGAACUAUAGUGUGAAAAUUCUUCAGAUCCCCCAAAAAAGGGAACGAUACAAGCAACUAAAUCACCCUAGGCACAACAGUCCGCAUACUGCAGGAGAAGGAAUUACAUAGGAAAGGGAAAAGAAGAUCUUUAAUUUAGUUGUUAAAAAAAUUCUGCAAAUCCUCUUUUGUCAUAAUAACUAUCAUGAAGAUUGCAGUUUUACUAUAAACUAAGAUCUUUAAGGUCUGCGAAUGUUAAAUAUUAAAGACCAAACAAUCAGUCCAGAAAACUACAAGGCUACUCAAAGUUGAGAAAGCUCCAUUAAGGAAUAAGCAAAUUUGACUACCAGCAGUUAGUUUGAUAUCAACCCUCCAAUAUGUGCACAAUUUUGCCUUAUUCAUCUCUGAAAGAUUACCAUCUUUUAAAUAAACUAGCCCCACCUAUAAAGUCCCAUCCCCUUGAAUCGGGCAUCUGAUGGUUGAAUCGUCCACUCCUAUGUUCCUUUUGCCUGGGAUUAUACUGCAACUGGUAAGGUAGAGAGAUGGGGAUAAAAAAAAGCCUACUAUCAAUCCUAGCAGAACCAAGAAAGGGAUCAGAGAGCUUAAGAACUUGAAGUCAGGCAUAAAAUAUGAAGCUUUAGGGGCUUCAAAAUCUAACAGUAAAAAGAACCUAAUGGGAGCAAGAACAGGGUUGAAGAAUGAGGUUUCAUGAAGAUUCUAAGAUGGAAUGACAGAGGGUUAGAUAAUGUGAAGAAAAGACACUCUGUAAAUGACAUUCUACUCAAAGCAAAACUCUAGACAUGCAAGAAGACUCGAAGAAGGAAUAUGAACUACUAUUGAUACAGGAAGCUGGUUUCAUCACCAAGGUACAAAGAAGCCAAAGAAACAGGUGAAACAGGCCGAGCAAGAUAAUGUAUGAAGCUAUCAAAAGGUCCAAGAUUAAAUAUUUAGACAAAAUGAAAAGUUCUUGAAGAGCAAAAAUAAGUGUGGUUCCAAGUAUACCUCAGUUCGCGAAGAGUCUUAUCCUCUUGCAAUGCCAAUCUUGAACUGGGGAUCCUCGGUGGUGGAGGCAACCAAUCCUCAUCUUUUCUCUCCUUUCCACCCUUCUCAUCAUUAUCAUCAUCAUCUAAAACAACAACAUCCUUUCGGUUUGGUUCACCUUCCCAUCCUAAAAAUUCAAAAAAAUCAAAAAAAAGAAGAAUCUAACGGACCCAAAACUUCCACAAAACGACAAAAAACCCUAAUCUGAACAAGAUGCAACUCAGUGUACGAUCGGCGGUCUUCUUCCUCUUCAUCCCAGGAAAAAUUGGAACCGAAUCCAGAUCGUCAUCUGCCAAUCAAACCCUAGAAGUGAGAAAACACCAGAAAAACUAAAAAGAAAAAAGAAAUCUUCGACGAGAGAAGAGGGAGAGGAAGAGAAAAGACCAUCGAAGGAGGGGAAAUCCGUGGGCUGGACACGGCUGUAAUCGAAGAGAGGCUCGAGCUCUUUUCCAGGCUCAUCCUGCCGAACGAAUCAAAGGAGAAAGAGAUGGAAAACUGAGGGAGGGGAAAAAACCUAGAAAAUUUAGCCACAAGGGAAGCAGAGAGCACAGUAAUUCGCAAACCACUGGCGACGAAUUGAUAGCGUUCCAAGGGGGAGACGGCUAUUUGGCGUCGAAACGUUCGCUGAACCGAAGCGGUGGUGGCGGCGGGAGGUGGCUGCGCGCUCGCGGCCGACGAUUUGGGGGGAAGAAACAAGGAAUGUUUUCCUAAUUUCAUAUCGAACGUGAGGGAAGUGCAAUGCACUUGCGAUGAUGCAACGAUGCAAGUGACGGAGCAUGAAUCUCAUAAAGAUUCUUCUUUGACCAGGGUAAUAGAAUCGUGAAUUUAUGCUGGAUUCGUGGAUUGAAUCGUAUAUUUAAGAAUAAGUCAUGUCAAUGCUGGAUGCCCACACGCU